AUUUUUUCAGCGACACAUGUACAAAAAUUGGAAUGAUACAGAGAAAAUUAGCAUGGCCCCUGUGCAGGACUGACAUGCAAACUCAUGAGGUGUUCCAUGUUUUC
rnacentral:snRNA from 1 species